rnacentral:misc_RNA from 1 species
AACGCACAUUGCGCCCCUUGGUAUUCCAUGGGGCAUGCCUGUUCGAGCGUCAUUUGUACCCUCAAGCCAUGCUUGGUGUUGGGUGUUUGUCCUUGCCUUUUGCGCCGGGACUCGCCUUAAAAUAAUUGGCAGCCAGUGUUCUGGUAGAAAGCGCAGCACAAUUUGCGAUUUUCUAUCUAGCAGCAUUUGCAACCAGCAAGUACAUUUAACACUUUUGACCUCGGAUCAGGUAGGGAUACCCGCUGAACUUAA